rnacentral:rRNA from 1 species
UACGUAGGAGACGAGCGUUGUCCGGAGUUACUGGGCGUAAAGGGUGCGCAGGUGGCGGCGCGCGUGGGGGGGUGAAAUCGCCCGGCUUAACUGGGCGGGGGCCUUCCAGACGGCGUGGCUUGAGCAGCGGAGGGGGACGUGGAAUUCCGGGUGGAGUGGUGAAAUGCGUAGAGAUCCGGAGGAACACCAAAGGCGAAGGCAGUGUCCUGGGGAGUACCUGACGCUCAGGUGCGAAAGCCAGGGGAGCGAACGGG